AGCUUUGCGCAGUGGCAGUAUCGUAGCCAAUGAGGUUUAUACGAGGCGCGAUUAUUGCUAAUUGAAAACUUUUCCUAACAUCCCGCCGUGACGACUUGCGACAUAGUCGAGACUGAAUUAAAAAAAAAAAUAGAAAAAAAAAACUUAGGUUGGGCAUUGCUCUUUUAUUGUUGCCUUUUCUAUGG
rnacentral:snRNA from 1 species